rnacentral:lncRNA from 1 species
GUGGAUUGGAAAGGAGGCGAGGGAAAGGGAAGGUACCUGGGAAUGAGAUUGAUCAAACUGUUAUGUGCAUGCACAAAUAUGGUAUAAUGAAUCUCACUAUUAUGUAUAAUGAUAAUGCACCUAUAGAAAAUUCUCUUAUGCCAGGACAUGGAAAUGGUUGGGAAGCACUGAUUUAGACAAUGUGGUGUGGUGCUUGUGCAUUAUUCACACCAGCUUGUGUUACCCUACAAGCACUGCAUUAUGGUAUUGGUUUCAAAAAGAUCCAUUUGGAUUCAUGUUAUAAGCCCCAGUAGGCUAGUUUCUGCAUUCUUGUGUUCAACUGUGAAAGCACACUAUUCUUCCUAAGUCUCAUCCCAGCUUCUUUAUCCCCAGUGGGGUGGGAAAAUAGGACAGUAAUUUUAGAUACAUGUGUUUCAUAUAGUUUAGUAAACUAUGUUGAAACUCUUCAGUACAUUUGUGAGUAUGUCUGUGAGCUAUCAGACUAACAAGAGUUGAGAAUUUCAGUGAAGAAUUGGUUUUAUUUAUUUAUUUUUUGUAUGGUGCUGGGGAUUAAACCCAGGGCCUUGUGCAUGAGAGGCAAGCACUCUACCAAUUGAGCUAUAUCCCCAGCCCCCCAAGAAUUGGUUUUAGAUAAUCAAGUCCAAUCUUUAUUUCUAAGGUGAGAAAACUUAAGCUCAAAGAGGAGUCUGAGGUCAGGCAGCGUUAGAGCCAGAGCUCGGAUCAGAAAAAGGUACUAAGCCUUCCAAUUAGAGCUUUACC